rnacentral:tRNA from 1 species
GGAGUUGGUAGCUCAGCUGUAGAGUGCAUGCUUUGUGUAUGAUGUCCUGGGUUCAAUUCCCAGCUUCUCCC